GAUGAACGCUGGCGGCGUGCCUAACACAUGCAAGUCGAGCGAUUCUCUUCGGAGAAGAGCGGCGGACGGGUGAGUAACGCGUUGGUAACCUGCCCUGUACACACGGAUAACAUACCGAAAGGUAUGCUAAUACGAGAUAAUAUACUUUUAUCGCAUGGUAGAAGUAUCAAAGCUCCGGCGGUACAGGAUGGACCCGCGUCUGAUUAGCUAGUUGGUAAGGUAACGGCUUACCAAGGCGACGAUCAGUAGCCGACCUGAGAGGGUGAUCGGCCACAUUGGAACUGAGACACGGUCCAAACUCCUACGGGAGGCAGCAGUGGGGAAUAUUGCACAAUGGGCGAAAGCCUGAUGCAGCAACGCCGCGUGAGUGAUGAAGGCCUUCGGGUCGUAAAGCUCUGUCCUCAAGGAAGAUAAUGACGGUACUUGAGGAGGAAGCCCCGGCUAACUACGUGCCAGCAGCCGCAGUAA
rnacentral:rRNA from 1 species